rnacentral:rRNA from 1 species
GACGAACGCUGGCGGCAUGCCUAAUACAUGCAAGUCGAGCGAACAGAUCAAGUUCUUGCACUUCUGUCGUUAGCGGCGAACGGGUGAGUAACACGUAAAGAAUCUACCUAUAAUCGGGGUAUAACCUUCGGACACGGGUGCUAAUACCGCAUAAUAUCUUCUUCCACAUUGAAGAAGAUUUAAAUACGGCUCUUCUGUCUCUUCUCGAUGCCUUUGCGGUUCAUUAGUUGGUUGGUGGGGUAACGGCCUACCAAGGCGAUGAUGCAUAACCGACCUGAGAGGGUGAUAGCCGACAUUGGGACUGGAACACGGCCAAAACUCCUGAGGGACGCAGCAGAAGGGAAUCGUCCGCAAUGGGCGAAAGCAUGACGGAGCAAGGCCGCGUGAGUGAAGAAGACGUUCGGGUCGUAAAACCCGGUUAUAAGAGAAGAACAGAUUGUGGAGUAACUGCUACAGUCGUGACGGUAUCUUAUCAGAAAGCCACGGCUAACUACGUG